UACGUAGGUGGCAAGCGUUACUCGGAAUUACUAGGCGUAAAGCGCAGGUAGGUGGUUGGGUAAGUCUGCCAUGAAAUCUCCCGGCUUAACCGGGAGGGGUUGGUGGAUACUGUCCGGCUGGAGUGUGGCAGAGGUAACUGGAAUUCCAGGUGUAGCGGUGAAAUGCGUAGAUAUCUGGAGGAACACCGAUGGCGAAAGCAGGUUACUGGGCCAAUACUGACACUGAGCUGCGAAAGCUAGGGGAGCAAAC
rnacentral:rRNA from 1 species